AUGAACUAUUAGAACCACAUUUCAUACAGUGCCAGAGAUAAUUUUACUUGCCAAAUUAAUUCAGUUGGCUCCGUUAUGAGUUCUACUACAUGGAUGAUAAACAGGUGAAAGUGCUAUAAACAAAAGAUAAUGAUAAAUGGCAGUGUAUCAAGAGGGAGGUGUAGCGAUGUCAAAUGAAAUGUCACUGAAGUCAGUGCUAACCAGACUGACUUCACAACUUCACAGUCUGGUACACGAAGAGAACAAUACAAUGAGUGGAAUUAACAAGCAUGCAAGAGUCUCUUUCCUGUGACACAAGGAUGGCUAAGGAAGAAUAACAGAGAGGAGGAGGACGGGUUCGUAACUGCGGAAAAUCUUAGUUUUUAUAUUCUUCACUGAAAAGGAAAAAUGAAUCAUUCCAAAAGUGGCUACUCCAAAAAUAAUCACACAAGGCAGGAUUUCAUCUAUCCCUAAUAUUCUCAGAAGGUUCAUCAGUGGCAUGAUGACAGAAAAAGUGCUACAAAAGCCAUGUGAAGAAGUACAUGUUUGCUUCCCCUUCUGUCAUGAUUGUAAGUUUCCUGAGGCCUCCAGAGCCAUGCUGAACUAAACCUUGUGAUUACAUUGAGCCUACCUGAAUGAUCCAGGAUAAUCGUCCCAUAUCAAGGAGAGCAAAGUGAAUAGUGUGAUUUGCUUAGAGGACAAUGCUGCUACAAAAACCUGUUCCACUCCAAGGCCAACUGCAGUUUUGAGGACUAUAUCCCAAGGAAUUGACUGACUCUCAAACAAGAUGAUUUGAC
rnacentral:lncRNA from 10 species